AGUGAGUGGCGAACUGGUGAGUAACACGUGGGAAACCUGCCCAGAAGCGGGGGAUAACACCUGGAAACAGAUGCUAAUACCGCAUAACAACUUGGACCGCAUGGUCCGAGUUUGAAAGAUGGCUUCGGCUAUCACUUUUGGAUGGUCCCGCGGCGUAUUAGCUAGAUGGUGGUAACGGCUCACCAUGGCAAUGAUACGUAGCCGACCUGAGAGGGUAAUCGGCCACAUUGGGACUGAGACACGGCCCAAACUCCUACGGGAGGCAGCAGUAGGGAAUCUUCCACAAUGGACGAAAGUCUGAUGGAGCAACGCCGCGUGAGUGAAGAAGGGUUUCGGCUCGUAAAACUCUGUUGUUAAAGAAGAACAUAUCUGAGAGUAACUGUUCAGGUAUUGACGGUAUUUAACCANAAAGCCACGGCUAACUACGUGCCAGCAGCCGCGGUAAUACGUAGGUGGCAAGCGUUGUCCGGAUUUAUUGGGCGUAAAGCGAGCGCAGGCGGUUUUUU
rnacentral:rRNA from 1 species